AACGAACGCUGGCGGCAGGCUUAACACAUGCAAGUCGAGCGCCCCGCAAGGGGAGCGGCAGACGGGUGAGUAACGCGUGGGAAUCUACCCAUCUCUACGGAAUAACGCAUGGAAACGUGUGCUAAUACCGUAUACGUCCUUCGGGAGAAAGGUUUAUCGGAGAUGGAUGAGCCGCGUUGGAUUAGCUAGUUGGUGGGGUAAAGGCCUACCAAGGCGACGAUCCAUAGCUGGUCUGAGAGGAUGAUCAGCCACACUGGGACUGAGACACGGCCCAGACUCCUACGGGAGGCAGCAGUGGGGAAUAUUGGACAAUGGGCGCAAGCCUGAUCCAGCCAUGCCGCGUGAGUGAUGAAGGCCCUAGGGUUGUAAAGCUCUUUCACCGGUGAAGAUAAUGACGGUAACCGGAGAAGAAGCCCCGGCUAACUUCGUGCCAGCAGCCGCUGCGGUAA
rnacentral:rRNA from 1 species